UACGUAGGGUGCGAGCGUUAAUCGGAAUUACUGGGCGUAAAGGGUUCGUAGGUGCCAACUAAGUCAGACGUGAAAUCCCUCAGCUUAACUGGGGAACUGCGUCUGAUACUGGUUGGCUUGAGUGCAGGAGAGGAACGCGGAAUCCUGGUGUAGCGGUGAAAUGCGCAGAUAUCAGGAGGAACACCGGUGGCGAAGGCGGAUCUCUGGGCCGAUACUGACGCUGAGGAGCGAAAGCGUGGGGAGCGAACAGG
rnacentral:rRNA from 1 species